rnacentral:rRNA from 1 species
UGGGGAAUAUUGCACAAUGGGCGCAAGCCUGAUGCAGCCAUGCCGCGUGUGUGAAGAAGGCCUUCGGGUUGUAAAGCACUUUCAGCGAGGAGGAAGGUGGUGAGCUUAAUACGCUCAUCAAUUGACGUUACUCGCAGAAGAAGCACCGGCUAACUCCGUGCCAGCAGCCGCGGUAAUACGGAGGGUGCAAGCGUUAAUCGGAAUUACUGGGCGUAAAGCGCACGCAGGCGGUUUGUUAAGUCAGAUGUGAAAUCCCCGGGCUCAACCUGGGAACUGCAUUUGAAACUGGCAAGCUAGAGUCUCGUAGAGGGGGGUAGAAUUCCAGGUGUAGCGGUGAAAUGCGUAGAGAUCUGGAGGAAUACCGGUGGCGAAGGCGGCCCCCUGGACGAAGACUGACGCUCAGGUGCGAAAGCGUGGGGCAGCAAACAGGAUUAGAUACCCUGGUAGUCCACGCUGUAAACGAUGUCGAUUUUGGAGGUUGUGCCCUUGAGGCGUGGCUUCCGGAGCUAACGCGUUAAAUCGACCGCCUGGGGAGUACGGCCGCAAGGUUAAAACUCAAA